GCAAAACCCUGUCUCUACAAAAAAUUCACAGUUUAGCCAGUGACCACCAGUUACCACAGCGGCCACCGCUGCCCGUCAUCCAUGGCAAGACACGGCCGACCCACCACUGCCUCCAUCCAUGGUGGGACACGGCCGGCCCACCACUGCCCUCCAUCCACGGCGGGACACGGCCGGCUCACCACCGCCUGGACCAGCUCCGCGUGGUCGGGCCUUGGGUCUGCAGAGUCAGUCAUUAUCGGAGGCCUGGUGGCGUCUGGACCCAACCUCAGUCCACCCCUCCCACCCCUGCCACGCCCCCACCGGGCUCCCUUUCCCCAGCAGAGAGGCAGGACCCUGAGACCUACCUUCAUUCUGAGCACUCAAGGAGGCAGCCAGGAGCAGGAGGGCCCCAAAGGGCCAGGAAACGGGGCCGGGGAACACCAGGGGCCAGGUCUGCAUGGCUGGCGGGACUUCAGCAGCCUCAGGGGCCCCUGGUCCUUGUCACUGGCUCUCGGGACACUCCCUGGAGGAAGGAAAGCCUGUGGGUCAGAGCCCCCUGUGGCUGCCAGAGGGGACAGUGGUAGUGGCUGUCGCCUGGCGGGGGCUGGGAGGCUGGGGGUCCCCACGCUCUUUCCUGAGUGGCUGUGCCUGGGAUGCCAGAGCCUCCACCCUCCUUCCCUUCCCCGUGACUGUAGAGGGCGUGCGAUGCUGGCUGCGUGAAACAAAGAAGACACAUGGGGGCAGGAGACAGAGUCGCCCGAAGCACCGCGGGACAUCUGACUUGUGGGUCAGCCCUUUUGUUUUACAAUAAAUUACUCAUGACUGUCUGA